rnacentral:lncRNA from 1 species
CACAUAUGUUCAUGAAAAUUCAAACAUUACCCCAAACAGGUAUGUACCAAGCGAAACCCAACCCUUAUGAAGAAUUGCUGCUCACUCAUUGCUAAUUUUGAGGUGGGGGGUAACUUUUAAUUCUGAUAUAAUUUCAAAUUUACAAAAAAGUCACAAGAAUAGUACACAGACUCUGGUAUGCCUUUUACGCAGAUUUAUCAAUUAUUGACAUUUUGUCCCUUUUGGUUUAUUUUUCUCUCUGUAUACAGAUGUAUGCGUUUGAGUGUGUGAGUGUGUGCGUGUGUACUCUGUGUACGAUCUCUUCCCAGGCUAUUUGCGAGGAAGCUGCAGCCAUGUGCCCUUUUACCUCCAAAUGCUUCAGGGUGAAUUUCCUAAGAACAAGGACAUUCUCUUACAACGUAAGACUUACAUAACCCCUGCAGUUAACAAAAUCAGGAAACUCACCACUGAUACAACACCAUUAUCUAGUCCACAGUCCAUGUUCAAAGUCAGUUGUGUCAUGACCUUUUCAUAGGUUUCCAGCGAAAGUAGAAACAUCCGGACGACAGAGAGAUUUUCUUAAAGCUAACGUGUAUUUAGCUUGAAGGAUUGUGCUCGAUUCUAAAAUCAUGCUCUCCCUGGUCCUUUUAGUUUUAUUGGUGUUUAAGAUGUCCCCUCUUUUAUGAAAUGGUGAGGGUAGAAAGUGGUUUAUUUAUUGUUUGCUUUUGAUAGUCUUACUGGACAAAAUAAAAAGCGGCAGUUCUACAUUUGUCCUCAAACCUCUUUUGCAGGAAUCCCAAGGUGGUCCCUCCGGCACCACGGUUCUCCGAGUCCAGGUGAGUCAGAUCACUGGACACUUUCCUGAAGCCUGUUGAGAGCAUACCUGCUCCCAACACUGGGGGUGGGGCAUGGGAUAAACAGCCACAGCCCUGCCUCUCGGGGAGCCCAUGGCCUCUCACCCAGCAGAGUGCCCCUUUACUCUUUCUGUGGCUCUCCUGCAUCCCCUACCUUGCAAGUCAUGGGCAAGCAGAGCCCUUCUCCCACCAUGAAAACCCGACCUCACUUUCCCAGUCUCCUUUGCAGCUGUAGGGCAGGCAUAUGAUCUGGCUCAGCCAAUCAGAUGCACUCCCAGGAACUCUGAAUCUUAGCAGGUGAUACAAAGACGUGGUGAUGGGAUCUAUCUGACAGAAUUGGCGGCAGCUGCCCCAGGAGGUUUCCAGGGCCAGAGGAGCCUCAGGGCCAGUUUCACUGUUGUCCUCCCUGCUCUAGCCCUGAGGUGUGAUUUGGCAGGGGUUCUGGCUGCUGUCUGGUCCUCCCUGGUUCCUGAGCUUAGCUCUCCAGCCAGCCCGAGGAGUCCGUGAGCUUUCUGUUGCUUUCAACGAAGAACCCUGACAAUAAACAGAGACAAGUCAGCAUCGUGGAGAUAGAGAGGAGCUGGGACCUGGACGUGGAUACAUAGGCAGUUGGGCAACAGUGAUUCUGUGAGAACCCAGACAGAUGCUCAGAUGAGAGACCAACGUCCCUGCCUCCAUCCCUGAGUUUUUAUUACUUCCUUUAAGUAACCUUCGCCCCCCAGUUCAACCCUAAACUCAUCAACUCUCCAAGGAGAAGAAUAGGAGUUACUCUACGAAGCAUUUGUAAGGAAGCCCUGGUGGGGCAGAGAGGCGUGUGGACUUGAGAAGCAGACCCACGUGGAUUCCACCACAGCCUGGUCUCAUCCUAGCUGUGUGCGAUCUCAGCCAUUGUAUCUGUCACCAGCUACCGUGUAACAAGCCACCACAAAACUCAGCGAGUUAAAACAACAACUGUUUAUUUGCUUAUGCUUCUAAAAUUUGCGCAGGGCUUGAUGGGACGGCUCCUUUAUUCUCCACCUGGUGUUAUGUUUUCUAAGUGAAGUCCAUGGGACAAUGGCACAGAGGAGAUAUGCACAGUACGCAUGCCCACCCUCUUCCUUGCGUCCCUGUCCCUAUAUAGAGUUCCUUUCUCUUUUGGUCCUUCCUCACCCAUCAGCCAGCCCGAGGUAGAAAACUUUGGGAGAAUCCAUGCAUAUCAAAAAGAGAAGCUCUUCCAGUAAGUGGCCUGAGGUGAUUUCUAGAAACGGUUCCCUAUUCAGUUGACCCAGAAGACCCCACAAAGUCAUGCAAAUCAAGAGGUCCAAAUCUUCGUGUUCUCUUUAAGAACACCCGUGAAACGACCCUGGUCAUCAAGGACAUGCAUACCCGAAAGCCUCCGGGUAUCUGCAGGGUGUCACUUUACAGAGGCAGCGUGUGCUGUCCCGUUGCUACAACGGCAGAGUUGGUAGGGCUGCCCUGGGCAAACUGUGCGGCUGGACAUGGGGUCAGGGUCCCGAAGGAGUGCUGAAUGUUUGCUGCACGGGAUUAAAAACGAAGAGGGCAAAGCAGAACUUAGCGGUUCAGAUGUCGAUUCUCUGGUCAUUGAGCACAUAUAGGCAAGAGUGUGCCUGUCCUAACACAGGUCCUGGCUGGCUUCACCCCUGCGAGAGCACGCCUGCCACUGAGAUGCUCCUCAUUAAAGGGCAGUAGAUUGUUCCUAGACCAGAGAGAAGGCUGCACAGAAGAAAAAGUUAUCCCAGAAGAAAUACAGACUUAUGGCCAGGAAUAAGUUCAGCAUAAAAUAAAUGCAAAUAAAAGUAAAAGCAGAAGAAAAAAAAGACAUAAAAAAUUGAGUUUCGUGUGGUAUUUUGUGCAGUGUUUCCACGGUUCUGGUGAGAAUGAAAUACAUGUGCAGAUACGAGCUAUGAAAUAGGAAUUGCCUAACUGUGUUGAUUCCACGAGUUAAAUGCUCUAAUAUUUGCAUUUAAAGCUGGCAUUGCACAAUAUAAAGUUGAACAGUAAAAUUCAUGCUAAUAUUUUAAAAUUUUAAUUUUUUCUGUAGUUAGAAUAACAUUAAGUAGCAAAUAAAAAACACCAUGAUGGCUUGAGAGAGGCUACGG